GUACUGUUCCCUUCUUCCCUUCUCCACGCUCAUCACAGAAAAUUUCUUUCUACGAUCCUAUCUCCUCAAAUGCCCACAAAAUAUGCCACCCUCGUCUAGGCCCCGUUGUUGCCGGGUAGCCGUGAUCGGCGCAGGUGCCGCCGGUCUAGUGGCUGCCCGUGAGCUUCGCAGAGAGGGCCUCCAAGUGGUACUGUUCGAGAAAGAUGACCAAAUCGGUGGUACCUGGGUGUACAAUUCCCAUGUCGAACCUGACCUUCUCGGGCUCGACCCCUCCCGACCCAUCGUUCACUCCAGCCUCUACGAGUCCCUCCGAACCAACCUGCCCAGAGAGUCCAUGGGUUUUAUGGACUUCCCGUUUGUGGCCCAAGAAGAGGGUGAAACGAGAGACCCGAGAAGGUUUCCGGGUCACAGAGAAGUGUUGCUCUAUUUGCAAGACUUUGCAAGGAAGUUUAGGAUUGAAGAGCUGAUUAGGUUUCACCGUGAGGUGGUUAGCGUGGAGCUGAUUGAUGAUCGGAAAUGGAAAGUGAAGUCACACAAGAAGAGAAUUGAGAGUGAUGGCGAUAAUUAUGGGAAUGAUUGUUUUCUAGAUGAGGUUUUUGAUGCUGUGGUUGUUUGCAGUGGACAUCAUACAGAACCUCGUAUAGCUGAAAUUCCAGGCGUCGAUUUGUGGCCUGGAAAGCAAAUACACAGCCACAACUAUCGUACUCCAGAGCCUUUCAGGGAUCAGAUGAUAAUUAUAAUAGGCCAUUCCUGGAGUUCUGCUGAUAUAUCCGCUGAGAUAGCUGCAGUUGCCAAAGAGGUCCACAUUGCAUCUAGAUCAGUUCCAGAUGGUACAUAUGAAAAACAACGCGGAUAUGAUAAUAUGUGGCUUCAUUCAAUGAUAGAAAGUUCCCAUGAAGAUGGUACUGUGGUUUUCAGAGAUGGUAGUGCUAUUGUUGCAGACGUUAUUCUGCAUUGCACCGGGUACAAGUAUCACUUCCCCUUCCUCAAAACCCAUGGCAUUGUGACUGUUAAUGACAAUCAUGUGGGGCCACUGUACAAGCAUGUUUUCCCCCCUGUCUUGGCCCCAUGGGUUUCAUUUGUUGGCAUACCAUGGAAGGUCACCCCUUUCCCAAUGUUAGAAUUUCAAAGCAAGUGGAUUGCUAGUGUUUUAUCUGGUAGAAUUAUGCUUCCAUCUCAAGAGGAGAUGGUGGAAGAUGUUAACACUUUCUACUCAACACUUGAAGCUUCUGGCAUACCUAAGCGAUAUACCCAUAAUUUAUUUAAUCAUCAGGUAAGCCUCAUGUUUGGCAAAAAGUUUGUCCUCUCUCUGUUUUUGUAAUUGCCCUGUUAAUUAGUUCUUGACACCAACUUCAUUACUAGAACCUGAUUUACCUUCUCCUGCUUAGCCUAGUGGCUCUGUAUUAAUAAGAAUAUAUACCACGACAUUUAAUGUCUUCUCUUCUUGAUCUAUGGAUGAUAACAGAUUUUUUUCGUUUUUCACACAGCAAUAACAAACUUGGAUUUAAAUGUGAACUUAGUUAAUGUAGUUGCAUUGAUGCCCCCCUAUGGAUCAAUUAAACACAAUAUGCCUCUAUUACCUGAUUUUCUGUUAAUUUUGGUUGUUGAUAUUUGCAGGCUGACUACAACAAUUGGCUUGCUGCACAGUGCCAAUGUCCAGGCUUUGAAGAAUGGAGAAACCAAAUGUACCAUUAUACUACCAAAAACAGUACUGUCCGGCCCAAGACAUACCGUGAUGAAUGGGAAGAUGACCACCUGAUCAUUCAAUCCCACGAGGACUUCAAGAAAUAUACCUGAAAUGAGAAUAAAAACAAAAUUUGCAUCUCUACUUCCCAAAAAAAAAAUGCAUUUUUUAAGUGAAGUAGAUCAAACGAAUCCUUGCAUGAUAAGCUUUCAGCACUCAGCAGACCUCACAUCUCAACUACUUGUAUUAAACGAUCCCUUGAAUGUGAAGGGAGUAUACAGUUAAACAUUGAAAAAUGGAUGAUAUUCUAUGGACUUAUUGCAGUAGACCAAUAGGUAUGGGAAUAAAUUCAUUUCAAAGCGAAAUUCAAAUUCAUAUAUUUUAAAUUAAUUCAUGUAUAAUUCAAAUGAUAGUUGAUUUGCCUUCUAA
rnacentral:misc_RNA from 1 species